rnacentral:rRNA from 1 species
UACGUAGGGGGCAAGCGUUGUCCGGAAUCAUUGGGCGUAAAGCGCGUGUAGGCGGUUUCGUAAGUCUGCUGUGAAAGUCGGAGGCUCAACCUUCGAAAGCCAGUGGAUACUGUGAGACUUGAGUACGGAAGAGGAGAGUGGAAUUCCUGGUGUAGCGGUGAGAUGCGCAGAUAUCAGGAGGAACACCAACGGCGAAGGCAGCUCUCUGGGACGUUACUGACGCUGAGACGCGAAAGCGUGGGGGAGCAAACAGG